rnacentral:rRNA from 1 species
UACGGAAGGGGCAAGCGUUGUUCGGAAUCAUUGGGCGUAAAGGGCGUGUAGGUGGUUCUGUAUGUCUACCGUGAAAGCGUACGGCUCAACCGUAUUUAGUCGGUAGAAACUGCAGGGCUUGAGGCUGGGAGGGGCUGGUGGAAUUCCCCGUGUAGCGGUGAAAUGCGUAGAGAUGGGGGAGAACACUCGUGGCGAAGGCGGCCAGCUAGACCAGUUCUGACACUGAGGCGCGAUAGCGUGGGGAGCAAACAGG